rnacentral:piRNA from 1 species
UGAUGAACAUGAAGAAAACCCAACCACAU